CACAUACGCACUGGGCAGGGGGUGCCAAAAAAGCGUACAAAGGGGGUGUUGGUUGUAUAUGCUAAAUGGAUGCCCCCCUAUGGGCUGAUCCUUUUGGGGGUCUCUUGAAAGUUUGCCCAAAUUUGUAUGGGGGACUGUGAUGAAAUAACCUCAAUAUAUUGCCUUAUUUUGUGGUAAAUGUUAGUUUAAUUAAAAGAAAACCAUGUCUUGUAUGGCUUCGUAAGCAAUAUGCCAUGUGAAAUAAUUGUCCGA